AUAGAUACUCAGGUAGUCCACCCCGUAAACGUUGGGAACUAGUUGUGGGUCCUUUCCACGGAUUCCGUGACGCAGCUAACGCAUUAAGUUCCCCGCCUGGGGAGUACGGCCGCAAGGCUAAAACUCAAAGGAAUUGACGGGGACCCGCACAAGCGGCGGAGCAUGCGGAUUAAUUCGAUGCAACGCGAAGAACCUUACCAAGGCUUGACAUACACGAGAACACCCCAGAAAUGAGGGACUCUUUGGACACUCGUGAACAGGUGGUGCAUGGUUGUCGUCAGCUCGUGUCGUGAGAUGUUGGGUUAAGUCCCGCAACGAGCGCAACCCUCGUUCUAUGUUGCCAGCACGUAAUGGUGGGAACUCAUGGGAUACUGCCGGGGUCAACUCGGAGGAAGGUGGGGAUGACGUCAAAUCAUCAUGCCCCUUAUGUCUUGGGCUUCACGCAUGCUACAAUGGCCGGUACAAAGGGCUGCAAUACCGUGAGGUGGAGCGAAUCCCAAAAGCCGGUCCAGUUCGGAUUGAGGUCUGCAACUCGA
rnacentral:rRNA from 1 species